GCAGAGGGUGACCUGGCUGUGACACCUGUCACUCCACUGAUCAUCAGGAUUGGUUCUGCCCAUUUGGCUGACUACAAGUGUGUCCCCUUCUUCCCUCCCCACUCCAUGAAUUCCUCUUGAAUCUUUGCAUUUGGUGGAAGAGGACAACUUCCCCAGUAGAGAAGAACAGUUCUUCCUCCUGGGGUCAUGUAGCUGUGCUCCUCUGCUAAAGCUUCCGAUUUUUUUUUCAAGAUCCAGAUAAAAGGUUUUCUUCACCUGUGCAAUGGCUGUCCAUUCAUAUUUAAGGGAAAGCCAUUACAAAUAGAGUGAAGGAGCCAGGCGGUGAUGGUACAUGCCUUUAGUC
rnacentral:snRNA from 1 species